AUUGAACGCUGGCGGCAGGCCUAACACAUGCAAGUCGAACGAGUGGCGGACGGGUGAUUAAUGUCUGGGCAACUGCCUGAUGGAGGGGGAUAACUCCUGGAAACGGUAGCUAAUACCGCAUACCAUCGGAUGUGCCCAGAUGGGAUUAGCUAGUAGGUGGGGUAAAGGCUCACCUGGGCGACGAUCCCUAGCUGGUCUGAGAGGAUGACCAGCCACACUGGAACUGAGACACGGUCCAGACUCCUACGGGAGGCAGCAGGGGGGAAUAUUGCAAAAUGGACGCAAGCCUGAUGCAGCCAUGCCGCGUGUAGGAAGAGGGCCUUCGGGUUGUAAAGUACUUGCAGCGGGGAGGCGUUAACCGCAGAAGAAGCACCGGCUAAAUCCGUGCCAGCAGCCGCGGUAAUUC
rnacentral:rRNA from 1 species